UACGUAGGGGGCUAGCGUUGUCCGGAUUUAUUGGGCGUAAAGAGCGUGUAGGCGGCCAGGUAGGUCUGGUGUGAAAACUCGAGGCUUAACCUCGAGAUGUCAUCGGAAACCAUCUGGCUAGAGUCCGGAAGAGGAGAGUGGAAUUCCUGGUGUAGCGGUGAAAUGCGCAGAUAUCAGGAAGAACACCCGUAGCGAAGGCGGCACUCUGGGCCGGAACUGACGCUGAGGAGCGAAAGCGUGGGGAGCGAACAGG
rnacentral:rRNA from 1 species